GAUCUCUAUCCAUCUUAUCUCCUCAUCCUUGAUUUGAAUGGAAUUCAAAUCAGAAAAGAAAUAAGGUCAAUGACUCAUGAAGAGUGUAGCUCACCAUCUUUGUGCCCUCCUUUAUGAUGCCCAAAGAUCUCAUGCAAAAACCUUUUUGGCAUGGGGAAAGUUGGAAUGGGUCUAGGGCAUGUGCAAGGGAGAGAGAGUCCCUACUGGCUGGGACUCUUCAUUUUCAAUUUGAUUCCAAACCAAACC
rnacentral:lncRNA from 1 species